AGCUACAUCAAGUAGCAACCAGUUUAUAGCUGGGGAUGACAUUGUCCUAUACGACAACAAGCUUGUCGAUGAUGGUGGUGCUUUGGACCUUUCUACGGGUAUAUUCACUGCAAAAUCUAGUGGCUACUACGUGUUCCAUUUCCACAGCACGACCAUGCAACAUGAAGAUCUUUGGCUGGAACUCUGGGUGAACAAUAUCUACGUUUGCUCUAUUCAUGCCCUCACUGAUUUUGACUGGGCAAGCGCGGGCAACGCGGCUGUCUUGCACUUGCUCGCUGGGGACCAGGCUGCGAUUUUAUCAAAGUAUGGACAUGAAAACCGUAUAAUGGGUUCAACUGAUUAUAUGUUCGUUUUCUGGGGCGCAGAUAGUUUCAGACGAAGACUUAAAGAACCCAGAUACGGAGCCUGUUUUGAUUUUCUCAGUAGGACUCACUAAAAACAUUUCCUUGAAUAAUGGAAGGUUGUCAUAUUCGACCGAGUGUUUGCUGAUUUGAAGCGAUCCUACAACAUAAACACGGGCAUGUUUGUGGUUCCCGCGACAGGAUUGUAUGAAUUUCACUACCACUGCAUAUCGAGCAAAAAUAACUACAUGUCUCUUGCACUGGUCAAAGGAAAUAGCGUCGUCAAUGGCUUCAACAAAAUUCGCAACCGAGUCCACACCGCCUAUGCCAGCAACGCGGCUGUCUUGCAACUGACGGCUGGAGAAACAGUUUCGGUACAGUCCAAGUACAGCUACGUCUACCUCGUUGGUUCUGUAAACGGUGUAUUCUGCACGUUUUCGGGUUAUAUGCUGCGUUCAACGGGCCCUAGCAUCGGCUAGAUGUUUUUUCCUUGACCUUUAUUAUACUAUUCAAUAAAUAGUUGAGAGCAU